GCCGAGCCUUGUAACGUGGGCUUGUGACCCAAGUGGGGGCAACAAUGUGGUGGAAUGUUGGGCUUAUCCUGAAGGCUGGGCUUUGGAUGGCUAAUGUCUGGCCUGCCCUAUCCAAGCAUGGAGUUGAGUCACGUAGCCCAAACCUAAGUAUGGGCUGCUUGGCUACUAGAGUGGGGCGGACUGCGUGAGGCUGGUUUCACAGAGCAACGAAUAGUUCCCGCUCUAUGCAGUGGAAGGAUAACGGGCCGGUGCUAUCCAAGUCCAAUAAAAACCUAAUGGGCUUCUUCAAUCAAACCACCACUUUU
rnacentral:SRP_RNA from 1 species